GAUCCGGCUCAGGAUGAACGCUAGCUACAGGCUUAACACAUGCAAGUCGAGGGGCAGCAUGUUGGUUGCUUGCAACCAAUGAUGGCGACCGGCGCACGGGUGAGUAACGCGUAUCCAACCUACCCUUGUCCAUCGGAUAACCCGUCGAAAGGCGGCCUAACACGAUAUGCGGUUCACAGCAGGCAUCUAACGUGAACGAAAUGUAAAGGAGAAGGAUGGGGAUGCGUCUGAUUAG
rnacentral:rRNA from 1 species